rnacentral:rRNA from 1 species
AGCGAACACUGGCGGCAGGCCUAACACAUGCAAGUCGAACGAAGUCUUCGGACUUAGUGGCGGACGGGUGAGUAACACGUGGGAACGUACCUUUUGGUUCGGAACAACUCAGGGAAACUUGAGCUAAUACCGGAUGAGCCCUUAGGGGGAAAGAUUUACCGCCGAAAGAGCGGCCCGCGUUAGAUUAGCUAGUUGGUGAGGUAAAGGCUCACCAAGGCUACGAUCUAUAGCUGGUCUGAGAGGAUGAUCAGCCACACUGGGACUGAGACACGGCCCAGACUCCUACGGGAGGCAGCAGUGGGGAAUCUUGCGCAAUGGGCGAAAGCCUGACGCAGCCAUGCCGCGUGAAUGAUGAAGGUCUUAGGAUUGUAAAAUUCUUUUACCAGGGACGAUAAUGACGGUACCUGGAGAAAAAGCCCCGGCUAACUUCGUGCCAGCCGCCGCAGUAAGAC